rnacentral:rRNA from 1 species
UACGAAGGGGGCUAGCGUUGCUCGGAAUCACUGGGCGUAAAGCGCACGUAGGCGGAUGUUUAAGUCAGAGGUGAAAGCCUGGAGCUCAACUCCAGAACUGCCUUUGAUACUGGGGAUCUCGAGUCCGGAAGAGGUGAGUGGAACUCCGAGUGUAGAGGUGAAAUUCGUAGAUAUUCGGAAGAACACCAGUGGCGAAGGCGGCUCACUGGUCCGGUACUGACGCUGAGGUGCGAAAGCGUGGGGAGCAAACAGG